UACGUAGGGUGCGAGCGUUAAUCGGAAUUACUGGGCGUAAAGCGUGCGCAGGCGGUUUUGUAAGCCAGAUGUGAAAUCCCCGGGCUUAACCUGGGAAUGGCAUUUGGGACUGCAAGGCUUGAGUGCGGCAGAGGAGACUGGGAUUCCUGGUGUAGCAGUGAAAUGCGUAGAUAUCAGGAGGAACACCGAUGGCGAAGGCAGGUCUCUGGGCUGACACUGACGCUCAUGCACGAAAGCGUGGGGAGCAAACAGG
rnacentral:rRNA from 1 species